rnacentral:rRNA from 1 species
UACGGAGGAUGCGAGCGUUAUCCGGAUUUAUUGGGUUUAAAGGGUGCGCAGGCGGCGUGUCAAGUCAGCGGUAAAAUGUCGGGGCUCAACCCCGGCCGGCCGUUGAAACUGGCGUGCUCGAGUUGGAGUGAAGUAUGCGGAAUUCGUGGUGUAGCGGUGAAAUGCAUAGAUAUCACGAAGAACCCCGAUUGCGAAGGCAGCAUACCGGCUCCACACUGACGCUGAGGCACGAAAGCGUGGGUAUCGAACAGG